UACGUAGGGGGCAAGCGUUAUCCGGAUUUACUGGGUGUAAAGGGAGCGCAGGCGGUAUGGCAAGUCAGAUGUGAAAACCCAGGGCUCAACCCUGGGACUGCAUUUGAAACUGCCAUACUGGAGUGCCGGAGAGGUAAGCGGAAUUCCUAGUGUAGCGGUGAAAUGCGUAGAUAUUAGGAGGAACACCAGUGGCGGAGGCGGCUUACUGGACGGUAACUGACGC
rnacentral:rRNA from 1 species